rnacentral:rRNA from 1 species
CAAUAGCGUAUAUUAAAGUUGUUGCGGUUAAAAAGCUCGUAGUUGGAUUUCUGCUGAGAACGACCGGUCCGCCCUCUGGGUGUGUAUCUGGCUCUUUCUUGGCAUCUUCUUGGUGAACGUUGCUGCACUUGACUGUGUGGAGCGCUACCCAGGACUUUUACUUUGAGGAAAUUAGAGUGUUUCAAGCAGGCAUACGCCUUGAAUACAUUAGCAUGGAAUAAUAAGAUAGGACCUCGGUUCUAUUUUGUUGGUUUCUAGAGCUGAGGUAAUGAUUAAUAGGGAUAGUUGGGGGCAUUCGUAUUUAACUGUCAGAGUUGAAAUUCUUGGAUUUGUUAAAGACGGACUACUGCGAAAGCAUUUGCCAAGGAUGUUUUCAUUGA